UUGGAGGGCAAGUCUGGUGCCAGCAGCCGCGGUAAUUCCAGCUCCAAUAGCGUAUAUUAAAGUUGUUGCAGUUAAAAAGCUCGUAGUUGAACCUCGGGGUCUACCCAUUGGUCAGGCUUAAUUGUCUGCACUGGUGAGAUGGAUCUCUACCUUCUGAGGAACUUUCGUGCCAUCCAUUUGGUGUGAUGGGAAAUCAGGACUGUUACUUUGAAAAAAUUAGAGUGUUUAAAGCAGACUAUCGUCUGAAUACAUUAGCAUGGAAUAAUGAAAUAGGACGGACUGAUUCUAUUUCGUUGGUUUCUAGGAUCACCGUAAUGAUUAAUAGGGAUAGUUGGGGGCAUUAGUAUUCAAUUGUCAGAGGUGAAAUUCUUGGAUUUAUUGAAGACUAACUACUGCGAAAGCAUUUGCCAAGGAUGUUUUCAUUAAUCAAGAACGAAAGUUAGGGGAUCGAAGACGAUCAGAUACCGUCGUAGUCUUAACCAUAAACUAUGCCGACUAGGGAUCGGACGUAGUUAAUUUUAUAAUGACGCGUUCGGCGCCUUACGGGAAAC
rnacentral:rRNA from 1 species